AUUGAACGCUGGCGGCAGGCCUAACACAUGCAAGUCGAGCGAACAGAUGAGAAGCUUGCUUCUCUGAUGUUAGCGGCGGACGGGUGAGUAACACGUGGGUAACCUACCUAUAAGACUGGGAUAACUCCGGGAAACCGGGGCUAAUACCGGAUAAUAUUUUGAACCGCAUGGUUCAAUAGUGAAAGACGGUUUCGGCUGUCACUUAUAGAUGGACCCGCGCCGUAUUAGCUAGUUGGUAAGGUAACGGCUUACCAAGGCGACGAUACGUAGCCGACCUGAGAGGGUGAUCGGCCACACUGGAACUGAGACACGGUCCAGACUCCUACGGGAGGCAGCAGUAGGGAAUCGUCCGCAAUGGGCGAAAGCCUGACGGAGCAACGCCGCGUGAGUGAUGAAGGUCUUCGGAUCGUAAAACUCUGUUGUUAGGGAAGAACAAAUUUGUUAGUAACUGAACAAGUCUUGACGGUACCUAACCAGAAAGCCACGGCUAACUACGUGCCAGCCGCCGCGGUAA
rnacentral:rRNA from 1 species